AUUUGACUCAACGCGGGGAAUCUUACCGGGUCCGGACACACUGAGGAUUGACAGACAGUUGUCUUUCCCUCCCUUCGGGGUGGGAUUACAAAAGAUAACAGAUCUUUCAUGAUCAUGUGAUGGGUGGUGCAUGGCCGUUCUUAGUUCGUGGAGUGAUCUGUCUGCUUAAUUGCGUUUCAAAUUUUAUAUUUGUUAACAUGCGAGUCUUCAAUGACGGCCACUCCACCUUAUAGACAUUAUAUGAUAUGCACAUUUGUGUAUUUGAUUAUAACUUGUCUGGAGUCUGGCUCGAUUUUUUUGACUCAAUUGAACGCAACGGACGUGAUUGCAAGUCCUUGUUGAACAAAUUAUAUAUAUACUACUUCAUCAUUAGUAUAUAUAGUUCGCUUCUCAUGUCGUAGCAGUCAAACGGGCGGGCGUCUUAAUUGGCGCGGUCACGAGGCUUAAUAUGCUGCGGCUGGGGAAAACUUGGGCGACCGCUGUAAUACUUCUCUCUUAAACCAGAGGAAGAUUGCGGCAAUAACAGGUCUGUGAUGC
rnacentral:rRNA from 1 species